GGAUGCGAUCAUACCAGCACUAAAGCACCGGAUCCCAUCAGAACUCCGAAGUUAAGCGUGCUUGGGCGAGAGUAGUACUAGGAUGGGCGACCUCAUGUUGCGUUCC
rnacentral:rRNA from 1 species